CCGAACCGACUAAUGUUGAAAAAUUAGCGGAUGACCUGUGGCUGGGGGUGAAAGGCCAAUCAAACCGGGAGAUAGCUGGUUCUCCCCGAAAGCUAUUUAGGUAGCGCCUCGUGAAUUCAUCUCCGGGGGUAGAGCACUGUUUCGGCUAGGGGGCCAUCCCGGCUUACCAACCCGAUGCAAACUGCGAAUACCGGAGAAUGUUAUCACGGGAGACACACGGCGGGUGCUAACGUCCGUCGUGAAGAGGGAAACAACCCAGACCGCCAGCUAAGGUCCCAAAGUCAUGGUUAAGUGGGAAACGAUGUGGGAAGGCCCAGACAGCCAGGAUGUUGGCUUAGAAGCAGCCAUCAUUUAAAGAAAGCGUAAUAGCUCACUGGUCGAGUCGGCCUGCGCGGAAGAUGUAACGGGGCUAAACCAUGCACCGAAGCUGCGGCA
rnacentral:rRNA from 1 species